rnacentral:lncRNA from 8 species
UGAGGUAAAGUCAGUGGUCCAGGCCAGUGUUCUGUUGGUGGGUCAGGUCUGGGCUGGCAAGUCCAGCUUCUUCAAUACCAUCAACUCUAUCUUCAGAGGAAACAUGCAAGGCCAUCACUGGCAGUGCAGACAGAAGCCUCACCACACAGGUUCCGUACCUUCUCCAUUAGGUCAGGGAAAGGCGGUAAGCCUAUACCACUGCUCCUGUGUGACACCAUGGGCCUGGAGGAGGCUACAGGGGGUGGUCUGGACAUGGAUGACAUAGUCAGCAUAUAGAAGAGCCACGUUCAGGACAGAUACCAGCUAUGUAGAGGCACAAUGCAAACAAACGGUUGAGGAGGACCAUUCGUUGGGAUCUUCUGUUGAAUGUCAUAAAACGGAUUGUUUAGAUCAAGCAUUCUGAAUGGUCAAAGGGCGACAGAGUCGUGCCACCAUUGACAAUAUACCUUAACUAGAUGGAAUCCCACACUACUUUAACUUUGAUAUCCUGUGGUUGAACAAAUCUAUUAUUUUACCUUUCACAAUACAAGGAACUUGAGAAUGUUCUGAUAUCAAAGUAGCAAGAUGUGAGGCUUUCCUAUUUAACGAGUUCAGUUCACCCUAGAACGUAGGUCCAGUUCUGGAAGAUCGCUGACUCAUAAUUCUGUCUCUGUCUGUGUUUGUCAUUUACAGUUUAACCCCAUGGCUCCCUUGCAGCCAGGUGUACCUGGAUAUCGCAAGCAUGCAACUCUGAAUGACCAGAUCCACUGUGACAGCAGUACGUCGUGGACGCCAGCAAAGUUUCUCAGAUGUCUGCUAAGAUGAUGGACAAGUUGUCUGCUAUCUGCAAGAAGACCAUUCAGAUGUCUGAGUGAAUAAAGCCCUUAGUGCCUUUUUGCUUUUAUUAUAGUUUCAUAAUGCUUUAUGACCACAAGGUGCUCCUUUUUAUAAGAUAAUCUACCACUUUAAAAGUAGGUAUUUUAAGUAGUGUACAGUAUAUUGCCUUCAGAAAGUAUUCAGACCCCUUGAUUUUUUUUACAUUUUGUUAGGUAAAUGUGAUAUUUCUGUUUGAAUUUUUUUUAUAAAUUAGCCAACAUUUCUAAAAACCUGUUUCUGCUUUGUCAUUAUUGUUUAUUUUGUGUAGAUUGAUGAUGGGAAAAAAAUAUUUAAUCAAUUUUAGAUAACAUUUACAGCCUUCUUCUAAAAUGUAUUACAUUGUUUUUUUCCCUCAUGAAUCUACACAAAAUACCCCAUAAUGACAAAGCAGAAACAGGUUUUAGACAUUUUUGCUAAUUUAUUCAAAAUAAAAA